GUUGUAAUUGAGAUUAAUGUGUCUAAAAGACUUUUUCACAAUUAUUAUGUUUCCUUGUUAUGUCUGUUUUUGGAUAAGGGGGUGGUGUAAAUUCAAAUCUUACAGCUAAACUAAAAAUGGUGCUCUCUAGUUUUUGUGAGUAGGGAAUGGGGAUAAAAUAAUUCUUCCUGUUGAACUUUAAGGGUGCUCUAAGGGCUUUGUUUUGAGUAGGGGUGGGGAUAGUAUUACUCUUUCCACUGAAUUGAUAGGUGCCCUUAUGGCUAAUUUUCCAUUUUCUUUGGAUUAGGGGGUGGGGAUAGUAUUGCUCUUUCCACUGAAUUGAUAGGUGCGCUAAUGGCUAAUUUUCCAUUUUCUUUGGAGUAGGGGGUGGGAAUAGUAUAACUCUUUCCUCUGAAUUGGUAGGUGCUCUAAUGGCUUAUUUUCCAUUUUCUUUGGAGUAGGGAGUGGGGAUAGUAUUACUCUUUCCACUGAAUUGAUAGGUGUUCUAAUAGCUAAUUUUCCAUUUUCUUUGGAGUAGGGGUGGGGAUAGUAUUCUUCUUGCCACUAAACUGAUAAGUGCUCUAAUGGCUAAUUUUCCAUUUUCUUUGGAGUAGGGGGUGGGGAUAGUAUAACUCUUUCCUCUGAAUUGGUAGGUGCUCUAAUGGCUUAUUUUCCAUUUUCUUUGGAGUAGGGGUUGGGGAUAGUAUUACUCUUUCCACUGAAUUGAUAGGUGUUCUAAUGGCUUAUUUUCCAUUUUCUUUGGAGUAGGGGGUGGGGAUAGUAUUACUCUUUCCACUGAAUUGGUAGGUGUUCUAAUGGCUUAUUUU
rnacentral:lncRNA from 1 species